rfam:Pseudomonas syringae pv. pisi str. 1704B contig17.3, whole genome shotgun sequence.
CCACCCAAUGCUCCGCCUACGCCUGACUCGAGGUUGCCUGCAGACGCUGCACCGCCGAUCAAGGUAAGAGACAACAACAGUAUCGAGGAAUACUUCAUGUAUGGAAUCUCAUAGGGAUGACGCCGCGAUCUUGGUGUCAAGUGAAGAAUGUAGCAAUGCAAUUCCGACGAGUAACACGAUUGCCACACAAACUGCUAAGUUAUUGUUUUGGCUAAGGAACUUAAGUCGAAAAAGAGAGUCUGAGGCUACUUGCAAAAGGCCCGCUUCCAGUGAAGCGGGCCUUUUUUGUGGGCGUCUUUCAGGGACGUCAGAGGAUGCGUGCCGACUCUGCCGAGCGCUCGAGGCGAAUGGCAACGAACUUCGAUGUCGGCGUGCUGCUGCCAUCACCCACGCUUUCCAGAGGCACCAGUGGGUUGACCUCUGGGUAGUAGGCGGCAGC